AACCACGAGGGCUAUAAUGGCUCUGGCUUUAGCUCAGUAUGAAGACCUUUUCUAGCUUGUUAGAGGUUACCCGAAAGGGCGGAGGGGCUGAACCGACACGGGUAUAGUGCGAGCCCCUGUCCCUAUGUGUAUAGGCUGCGCGUCAUUGUGCCAUUCGGAAGGGGGGUAUCUAUAUCUGCUCGCAAAGGAAACCUUGCGGCCCUAACAUGUUAGACGAACUUUUGAAAGGCUUCAUAGUGAUCCCUGCCGACCUUCCUUGGGAGUGGGUUAAGAGGCUGAUCACCUCGGGCGAAAGGGUAAAUCAUGACUCAUGGGUAAAGAUGUACAACCUCUGCAGAGUGUUAAAACUAGUAUACUAGCCGUGCUCACGGUUAAGAGCGGCCUUGGGGGUUCUUGCUGCGACGACGAUGAGCUUGUUAAGUUGUUAUGUUCAUUUGAUUAUCGUUUAUGCUAAGAAUUAAUUAUGCUUACACUUGAUCAUGUGAUUAAUGGAUUAUUACUGCUACCUUGACAAUUGCUAUUAAAUUAUGAACAUGCUCUCCACUAUUAAAAGCUAAAUGCAGUUAAACCAGUGUCAGCCAUUUGAGCCUCAUGAACCCCUGGUUAUACUUGUUGAGUACGAUAUGUGCUCACUCUUGCUAUUUCCCACCACUCCAGUAUACUACUAAGAGUUAUCAGAGGAGCGAAGGAGUUACGAAGGACGUUAUCAGGAUACAAGAAGUGCUAGGCAUAUGUUACCCCAGUCAGCCGUCCCUGUGAAGAUUGAGCCUGAAGAUUAGUUAUUGUGUUACGAUUCUCUGAUGUAAGUGUUAAUUAUAAGUAUGUUUCCGCUAUAUAACAUUGUUUUUGAUAUUAUUGCUUCUGUUGUUAUAUGUGUGGACUUCCUGGGCACACAUAUGGCUAGCCUGGUUUUGUUCUUUAAAAUCGGGUGUGACAGAGAUGGAUUAUUACUGCUACCUUGACAAUUGCUAUUAAAUUAUGAACAUGCUCUCCACUAUUAAAAGCUAAAUGCAGUUAAACCAGUGUCAGCCAUUUGAGCCUCAUGAACCCCUGGUUAUACUUGUUGAGUACGAUAUGUGCUCACUCUUGCUAUUUCCCACCACUCCAGUAUACUACUAAGAGUUAUCAGAGGAGCGAAGGAGUUACGAAGGACGUUAUCAGGAUACAAGAAGUGCUAGGCAUAUGUUACCCCAGUCAGCCGUCCCUGUGAAGAUUGAGCCUGAAGAUUAGUUAUUGUGUUACGAUUCUCUGAUGUAAGUGUUAAUUAUAAGUAUGUUUCCGC
rnacentral:lncRNA from 1 species